rnacentral:rRNA from 1 species
UACGUAGGGGGCAAGCGUUGUCCGGAAUUAUUGGGCGUAAAGAGCUCGUAGGCGGUUUGUCGCGUCUGCCGUGAAAGUCCGGGGCUCAACUCCGGAUCUGCGGUGGGUACGGGCAGACUAGAGUGAUGUAGGGGAGACUGGAAUUCCUGGUGUAGCGGUGAAAUGCGCAGAUAUCAGGAGGAACACCGAUGGCGAAGGCAGGUCUCUGGGCAUUAACUGACGCUGAGGAGCGAAAGCGUGGGGAGCAAACAGG